UGAGCUUGAAAGGCAAUCGCUUGAGUUCGCUCAAGAGGAAAGUCCGGGCAACACAGAGCGAGGCAGUCGCUAACGGCGACCGUCCGCAAGGAUAGGGAAAGUACCACAGAAACAAUACUGCCGGCUUGCCGGUGAUGGUGAAAAGAGUGGGGUAAGAGCCCACAGCGCUUCGUAGCGAUACGUAGCGGCGGCAAACCCUGCCUGUUGCAAGGAGUGCUAUCAGCCUUUGCUCGAGGACGCACGCUUACCGCUAGAGUGCUAUAGCAAUGUAGUGCCAAGAUAGAUGAUUGCCAGUCUCGCUUGCGAGGCUACAGAACCCGGCUUAUAGAUGGCUCAUAUC
rnacentral:RNase_P_RNA from 1 species